UGAUAAAUUAACAAUCACAAUAUCUUUUUCUUUUGCAUUAAGUUUUUCCAAAUGGGCUAAUGCAUGUGCGCUUUCCAAAGCAGGAAUAAUACCUUCGAGCUUGCAAAGCAAGAACCCGGCUUUUAAUGCCUCGUCAUCGGUUGCACUCACAAACAGGGCACGCUUUGUUUCAAAUAAAUGAGCAUGUAUGGGUCCAAUAC
rnacentral:misc_RNA from 1 species